AGUCAUAUCAUCAAUCAGAAGUAGUAAAGCAGAAGUAAAUGCGCUUGCAAGUUUUUAUAAGUUUAUAAUAAAAAUUAAUAUUAGCAAUUCAUAUUAACAAAUACUUAUAGUAUAGUAUUUCUAUAGUGUACAUUGUUAAUCACUUCAUAUUUUCUUUGCGGACAGUUUUUAACGGGUAAAGUGAUAUGCGUGAUGUACCGUGAACUCUGUUAAAGUACAAACCAGUAACCUGUGAACAUGAUCUCAUCAUGACCCGAGGAUGACUGAAUCUCUGUUGGAUGAGUUCUGGAUUUACAGAUAAGCCUACAUCUCCAUAACACUGCUAACGUUCCCCGAGGGAAAGAUGCGUCUGAUGUAGUUGAAGUCUCCGACGAAAAGGCUACCGUCGGAUCCGCAGGCCAGAGCCACUGGAGCCAGCAGCUUGUUGCCAUCGGCCUGCCCGUUACAGCUGGGACAGGAGAUACUGCGUCUGCGCCCGUUACCCAUAAUGGUGCUGAUCACUGGCGGCUGCUGGGAGAUGAAGACAUUCUCACCGUUGCCUUUGUACAGGAUACCUGCAAGACAAUAGCAGCAUACUUAUUAAAAAACUUACGCCAGGUUAGUGAUUUUUUAUGUAGCCAACUUUCAUUUGUGUUUUAUUUACAAUAUUAAAAUUAGCAAACAAAGAAACUAUAUACAUAAUAAAAUAUUACUUCUGCAGAAAUGUAUGUAAAUGCGGCUGCAAGAAUUUGCAACUUCUAAUUUGUCUUUUGGGGUGACGUGUUCCAGGAACAGUACACCCUGUGGCAUCCUGAGUUGCUCAAGGUGACAAAAGUUUGCUUUAGUUUAUAUAACACCUACAAUCUUCUCUUACUGUACCUGACUUUUUCUUUUGCUUUGUGUCUCUUCUGACUGGGUGGGCCAGCCACUGCCUCAUGCCUCACACUAACCUUUAUUAAAUAUUUUGUCUAAUUUGAUGAUUCUUUCAGCUACCAAUGAAAGCAUUGCCCUACCAAACUCAAUUUGCAUUAAAUUCUUCAGACCCAGUAAAAAUCCUAAAUUUAAUGUCUUAUACACAUGUUCUGUAUAUACAGGUCAAACUAUAUACAUGUUUACUGAAUGAGAUACAUGUUUAUCUAAGCUGUUUAUUUUAUCAUUUACAGUUCAUUUAAGCUGUCUCAUUACAGAUAUAAUAACACUACAAUCUGAUACAGACCAGAGCAGUGGAGCUCAUUAAAUAUUCCUGUCAUCCAUACCUUUGCCAACAAAACGAAUAUUAUUAUCUUUCAUAAUUGUAAUUACAUAAUUAGACAAUUAUAUAAAUAAACAAGCAAACAUAUCUAACUAAUGAUAGCAAUGAUGAGAAAUAAAUAAACUCUUUACUAUUAGCA